GACGAACGCUGGCGGCGUGCUUAACACAUGCAAGUCGAACGGAAAGGCCCUGCUUGCAGGGUCCUCGCGUGGCGAACGGGUGAGUAACACGCGCGUGAACUGCCCUGCUCUUCGGGAUAAGCCUGUGCAACUAGGCCUAAUACCGGCUAGGAGCCAUAUUGAAUGUGAUGGUUGGAAAGUUUUUUCGGUGUAGGAUGAGCUCGCGGCCUAUCAGCUUGCUGGUGGGGUAAUGGCCUACCAAGGCGGCUGCGGGUAGCCGGACUGAGAGGGUGGACGGCCACAGUGGGACUGAGAUACGGCCCAGACGCGGACGGGAGGCAGAAGUGGGGAAGAUUGCACAAUGGGCGCAAGCCUGAUGCAGCGACGCCGCGUGGGGGAUGACGGCCUUAGGGUUGAAAACUCAUUUCGCUAGGGACGAAGCUUUUUGUGACGGUACCUAGAUAAGAAGCACCGGCUAACUACGUG
rnacentral:rRNA from 1 species